UGUGUGUGUGUGUGUGUGUGUGUGUGUGUGCGUGCGUGCGUGCGUGUGUGUGUGUGUGUGUGUGUAUCCCACUGCAGCUCCUUGCAGCUGUCAAGCCAGAGGGUGGUGAGUAAGCACAAUUUCUGUUCUCAGAUGAGGUACUUCAGAGCUGUGAGCUGCUGUAGUAGGAGGGGGAGGGCUGCCUGCUCCGGCUGAUGGUCGUACAGUGAAACUUGGCUUCCAAGACGGCCAGCUAAGGAGAUCUGUUGUGCACAUGCUGAGGAGACAUGGCCCGAGGCCUGGGAGCAAUCUUUAACCUGGGAUCUCAAUUAUUUAUUGAAGGCUCAUUGUGUGCACAGAGCAUGACAGCUGCCACCUCGCAGCUGUUGAGCAGCACCAACACACAACCAUCAUUUUCUCUUGCGUAUAGAAGCUGUUAUCCUGAUGUGGUUCAAGAUUAUUCCAAAUGUUUCAAUCUUCAUUGUGAUGAACAAACUACCUCCUCCCUCUUUAAACACACAUGCAUAUCCUCUAUUUACAUGUGUGACAGAAACACAUAUUUGACUGGUUGACCUAGUCUGCACCAUGUUUGCUCUAAAGGUGUGUUUAGUUUGAAGCAUACUUUGGCUAGAAGCAGCUAUGUCAAUCCAUACUACAAGACAUUAAACAACUAUGAGCAGACUUAUUUUCUUUGUAAAUAAAUCCUUAUUUUUCGUAAUAAAAUGAUCGACAUGCAGGUAAUGAAAUUAAAACAGUUGUUAUAGCUGUUGGACUGUAUUGAAGAGUGUCCAGUGAUCUGAGGAGAAGACUCUUGUCCCUAAACCUGAGUGGACUCUCUCUAAAAAUUUAAUCCAUGGGGAUAUUUUUGCAUUAAUAAAUAAGUCAUACCCUAUUUAAUCUUCCAGGACAGGAAAGUGCUGUCACACUCACACAGGACUCUACCUGCAGAAACCAUUGGCUUUAGAGACCUGCAGCAGAGAGGACCAGGUGUACAAAUUAAAGGUGGUUGUUUGCAUCUCUGGAACUAUCAACAGGACUCUGGCAAUCACACAGGUAGGUCUGAUGUUAUUAGAGUAAGCCAUGCGUUUUGUUUGAGUGGAUCUGAUCCAUUCAGCCAAGCUUCCUCCAUGUCUCUCUAAAUAUGAAGUCUGUCUGCUGGAUCACUCUCGGGUGGUGUGGUAUUUUGAUUUCCUCUAUGUGUGCAAAAAUGCUGUAGGCCUCUGUUAUGAAAAAUUGCCAAUGUGGUUUUAAAAUCUUGAAGUGUCCUUUAAAUAAGGUAAGUAUGCACUAACAGCUGACUAUCUUCA